rnacentral:misc_RNA from 1 species
CAACCCUCAAGCUCUGCUUGGUAUUAGGCUCCACCUGCUACAGGCGGGCCUUAAAAUCAGUGGCGGUGCCAUCUGGCUUCAAGCGUAGUAAUAUUUCUCGUUUGGGAGUACCGGUUGCGUACCUGCUAAAAAACCCCAAUUUUUAAA